AGAUGCUGCCGUCCACCUCGUCAGAGCUCUUCCGGUCAUCUAGUCGUGUUUGCUGAGGGAAACCCGCUGCAAUGGAGGCGGCGUCCACUCUGAAGGAAAUUCACCUACUUUCUGAAAACCUCCAUUACUGAUUCUCCCUUGUUGGCUUCCAUAAAUUACUGAUUCUCCAUUUCUGUAGCACCUUCACUACCCACGCACCUCCUCGGCUACACUCACUUUCUAACCUUCUUUUCUUUCAUUUAGUUUCUCAAAGAAAUGGAAGAAUAUUUUAACCGAGUCCAUUAUGGAACGGUCUUGUACACUCAAACAUGUGGUACCAAAGAAUCCGGUGACCAAUUUGGUUUUAUUCAAACGGACGAACCUAGACUCCCUAUCUACUUUCACCAAAGCCACGUAAGUCGAUCAAAUAGACUUGAGCCAUUUGAUGUAGUCAAAUUCAAAUUGUACCAACAUCCAAAUUACCUUACAGAAGCGGUAGAAAUUUGUUUCGAGGAUGAACAAGUUUAUGUCAAAGCAGAGAAACGGCUUACUUACCCACAAGAUCAUUGUGAAAAAUGCGGUUUUGACGGCCAUCUUAAAACCCUCUGCAUGCCUCCCCCGGAAAGUUAUCGUUUUCGAUCGGAAAUUGAAUUAUUUGAAUCAUAAAGACGGUUGGAGAUGCAUGUGUGUUGGCAGAUCAAGGACUGAAAUCGCGAUUAUUAAACCAAGUAGGAUGUUUAGCGAACCAUGUCAAGGGAGACUGCUAGUUUUAUUGAAUUCUCUAAUCUAGCUUAUAUAUAUUGUAAGUCUCAUUUAAUAUGUGUUCUAACUUUUAGCAAGAUACUAAAUAUAUGUAUUUGGUGUAUUGUUGUGUGACUGCUAUUCUCAAA